GUGGGGAAUAUUGGACAAUGGGGGGAACCCUGAUCCAGCCAUGCCGCGUGUGUGAAGAAGGCCUUUUGGUUGUAAAGCACUUUAAGCGAGGAGGAGGCUACCGAGAUUAAUACUCUUGGAUAGUGGACGUUACUCGCAGAAUAAGCACCGGCUAACUCUGUGCCAGCAGCCGCGGUAAUACAGAGGGUGCAAGCGUUAAUCGGAUUUACUGGGUGUAAAGCGCGCGUAGGUGGCCAAUUAAGUCAAAUGUGAAAUCCCCGAGCUUAACUUGGGAAUUGCAUUCGAUACUGGUUGGCUAGAGUAUGGGGGAGGAUGGUAGAAUUCCAGGUGUAGCGGUGAAAUGCGUAGAGAUCUGGAGGAAUACCGAUGGCGAAGGCAGCCAUCUGGCCUAAUACUGACACUGAGGUGCGAAAGCAUGGGGAGCAAACAGGAUUAGAAACCCUGGUAGUCC
rnacentral:rRNA from 1 species